rnacentral:lncRNA from 1 species
GCCUCUCCCCGCCCUCCGCUCCUUUCUCUCCUUGCCUCCUGGUUCUACAGCUUUGCAGGACCGGCCCGUGCCUGUCUAAAUAGCCUCACGCUGUUCCCCUAUCGAGUCUCAGUUUCCCCACCAGUUCCUUCCGAUGACCCCUCCGGGAUGCCUCCCUGGACUGGAAACGAGCCUGACUCUGUCAGUACCGCCCCCCCCCCCGUCCCCACUUCUGAACCCCGUGGCAUCUGUUCUUGGCCUCAGUCCUCCGUAUUGAAAUGCCACAGCUCAAAGCCUUGGAAAGAGGAGACCCUGGGCAGAGCAGCGCCUCGCAACACCCUCCCCCAGAGCCACAAAGCCUCCCUGCGCAGUCUCCACUGGAUGUGACACCUCCCAGCACCCCAGCUCCCCACCCUGGCCCCCUCUUCCCUCAAGUGCUUUCUGAGUUUGAUUAAUGAUGCAGCUCUAUCAUUAAUUUUGUUCUAAUUUUUUUUCAGAGAAACAUUGCAAACCUACUAUGUCAGAAAAUACAGUAGAAAAAUAGAUUACAGUAGAAAAAAUAUGUCAAUACAUAUAACUGUGGAAACCACCUUUUCGAUGUCUAAAAAUGUCUAAAAAGCCAAGGAUAUGUUAAGUUGAGGUGAGAGGAGCAGAAUGUAUUUCAAUAGUGGCAGUGGUUUUCUCUGGAUAGUGACAAACUUUUUGUUGUUGUUUUCUGAGAUGGGGGUCCCAUUAUGUAGCUGAGGCUAUCCUUGAAUUCGCAGUAAUCCUACCUCAGCCUUCCAAGUGCUGGAAUUAGAAAUUGGUUUUCUUUUUUUUUUCUUUUUUUUUUUUUUCAGUAUUUUUACUUUUCCCACAGUAAAAGUGUAUAACUUUUUUUCAAAAUAAAAGAAAAACAAAAAAGAUCUCUCACAGUCCUACUAAUUUGAUAAAGCCACUGCUAUUGUUUUGACUCCUUUUCCCAUCCAGUUAUUGUAUAUAGGUAUAAUUACAUCAUGCCCACCAUCCUGUUCCCUGCUUCUUUUACUCCAUGACAUAUGUUGAUUAGACUUCAAAAACAUAGCUUUUUAAACUGGGCGUGGUGGCACAUACCUGUAAUCCCAGCACUUGGGAGGCUGAGGCAGGAGGAUCACUGUGAGUUUGAGACCAGCCUGGGCUACAUAGUGAGUUCCAGGUCAGUCUCAACUAUAUAGCAAGACCCUGUCUCAAAAAAAAGCCAAAAUAAAACAAAACACACACACACACACACACACACACAAAAAAAAAAAACAUAGGGUGGGGGCUGUGGCUCAGUGGUACAAUGUUUGCCUAGCAUGUGGAAGACCCUUAGGUUCAAUCCCAAGAAAUGAAAAAUAAUUUUCAAUGGCUGCAUGAUGUGCUAUUAAGUGGGCAUACUGCAAUAUACUUCACUUUACUCUAAUCACCAACCACAUAGAUUUGUAUCUUUGUUAUUAUAACCCUUUCAGACUGUAAGCAUCGGUUGUUCUAAGAACUCUAGCAGGCCCCCAGAUGUGACGUUAGGCUGUGUAAAUACAUCUCUCAGAUUGUUUGCCACAG